AGCGAACGCUGGCGGCAGGCCUAACACAUGCAAGUCGAACGAACUCUUCGGAGUUAGUGGCGGACGGGCGAGUAACACGUGGGAACGUGCCUUUAGGUUCGGAAUAACUCAGGGAAACUUGUGCUAAUACCGAAUGUGCCCUUCGGGGGAAAGAUUUAUCGCCUUUAGAGCGGCCCGCGUCUGAUUAGCUAGUUGGUGAGGUAAAGGCUCACCAAGGCGACGAUCAGUAGCUGGUCUGAGAGGAUGAUCAGCCACAUUGGGACUGAGACACGGCCCAAACUCCUACGGGAGGCAGCAGUGGGGAAUCUUGCGCAAUGGGCGAAAGCCUGACGCAGCCAUGCCGCGUGAAUGAUGAAGGUCUUAGGAUUGUAAGAUUCUUUCACCAGGGACGAUAAUGACGGUACCCGGAGAAGAAGCCCCGGCUAACUCCGUGCCAGCCGCCGCCGUAA
rnacentral:rRNA from 1 species